UUGCAGUUGAUACUGUCAGUCUGNAGUACAGUAGAGGUGGGCGGAAUUCGUGGUGUAGCGGUGAAAUGCUUAGAUAUCACGAAGAACUCCGAUUGCGAAGGCAGCUCACUGGACUGCAACUGACACUGAUGCUCGAAAGUGUGGGUAUCAAACAGGAUUAGAUACCCUGGUAGUCCACACAGUAAACGAUGAAUACUCGCUGUUUGCGAUAUACAGUAAGCGGCCAAGCGAAAGCAUUAAGUAUUCCACCUGGGGAGUACGCCGGCAACGGUGAAACUCAAAGGAAUUGACGGGGGCCCGCACAAGCGGAGGAACAUGUGGUUUAAUUCGAUGAUACGCGAGGAACCUUACCCGGGCUUAAAUUGCAGUGGAAUGAUGUGGAAACAUGUCAGUGAGCAAUCACCGCUGUGAAGGUGCUGCAUGGUUGUCGUCAGCUCGUGCCGUGAGGUGUCGGCUUAAGUGCCAUAACGAGCGCAACCCUUAUCUUCAGUUACUAGCAGGUCAUGCUGAGGACUCUGGAGAGACUGCCGUCGUAAGAUGUGAGGAAGGUGGGGAUGACGUCAAAUCAGCACGGCCCUUACGUCCGGGGCUACACACGUGUUACAAUGGGGGGUACAGAAGGCAGCUAGCGGGUGACCGUAUGCUAAUCCCAAAAUCCUCUCUCAGUUCGGAUCGAAGUCUGCAACCCGACUUCGUGAAGCUGGAUUCGCUAGUAAUCGCGCAUCAGCCACGGCGCGGUGAAUACGUUCCCGGGCCUUGUACACACCGCCCGUCAAGCCAUGGGAGCCGGGGGUACCUGAAGCACGUAACCGCAAGGAUCGUCCUAGGGUAAAACUGGUGACUGGGGCUAAGUCGUAACAAGGUAACCA
rnacentral:rRNA from 1 species